UCUGGGUAGGGUAAUAUGUAGACAAGCCUUACCCCUACCCGAAAAUGCAGAGAGGCUGUUUUCAAUCGACCCCCGGCUCAUAGGACAAAAGGAAAAACAGCAGUAAAAUAAAAACAAAGACAAAAACAAAACAAUAAAGCAUUAGUAACUCCGGCAGAAAUAGCGUAAAUAGCGUAAAUAAUUAUCUAAACAUACGAAACAUAAAUACAAUCGCAUGCAAUAAUAACAUACAGUAACGACCAUAACUAACAGCCAUAGGGGGGACAUCAGCUAAAACACAAAUCAUCUAUGGUAACCCUGCUGACCCACACCCAACCACGGAUGAGGCGUACAAAAAACUCUAGGAGCCCCUAUCCUACAACCCUGAUUCUAGACCUCCAGACUUUCCUAUCAAGGGUCAUGUCCUCGGAAACCUGCAUUCUANN
rnacentral:lncRNA from 1 species